AUUAAUUAACUGAUAUGGAAAAUUGGGUUACAUUUUCAAUAAUCAAUAAUAUCCUACUCUUAUUUAUUUUUUUGAAGAAAAGUGCAUAACUAAGGCAUAGCUUGCCCGCACAGAACAGCUUGACAUGCAACGGUACGAUUAUAUGCAAAUAAAUAUCCUACUGUGCUGCAGUCGUUGGUCUUCUGCACAAGAGGCCCUUUCGCUUUUUUCCUGGUUGUGCUUUUGUGUGCCUUCUCUGCUUGCGUAAUUCUAGAAUAGCGCAAAAACAGCUGGUCGGCUUAGCCAUAUAAAAAUACUAUGUGACACGGUAUAAUGCUUUGCCGGUCAUAGAAUAGAGACCUUUGGGUAACACUUCUUACAUUAUAAUUUCCACUCUUGCUGCUUGAAAUACUAGAAAGAACACGGCCUGUAAGAAUGAGCACAGAAUUGAUGGAAUGGCCUGCACGGCUCCUUUCUAUUAUGCGCAACGAAUGACUCUAUUAUCUACAAACAGGGCCCAUCAUCAAUUGCUGGUAUUUGGCAUGCCAGAACCGAUGUUGUUUUUAGAGGAUGUGAAUAACACUGAAUGGCUAGUAAACAGCUUUCAGCCUCGUGACUAGAUGGUUCGACGCUCCUUUUUAACCUAGGCCAAUUACGCAGCAAUAGUGAAAUAGGACCCUAUCUGGAAAAACGAGCUCCUCCACGUUUUUGUUCAGCCGCUUUUGAUCAAGACACUAAUAUUUAAUGCAUGGCAUACUGUAACUGUCCAGCAACUGUGACGAGUUCACCCGGAGUCCCUUUAAUACUUAGGAAAAGAAACACAAACACAAACAAACACCAUGAUUUCUAUAUUUCUUCUUUACCUAUAGGAUGUAUUACAUCUUGCUUGUCUGACAUCUUCUGUGUAUCAACCCCUCGAAAUACAACAUCGAACCAUUUGGAAAGAGAGAGAGAGCACGUAAAAUGAAAUCCUCUUGGAGUGUCCUGAAAGAAAUGCAGCACUAUGUUCGAAAUCGUUUCUUCUGACCAUAUAUGGCUGUGUGGGUGCAGUUCUCUCAGACGCUUGGCAACCCGACGGAUUCUCAGAUUACUUUUGUGUGCCAAAACCGUUUAAGGUCUGCCUACUGCAGCCCCGGCAACUAGACGACUGGACUUAAUGUGCAAUGUUUCUCCUAUCUGUAGUUUGAAUUCUGCUGUAACCUACACUCUUUUAAACACACACCAGUUGAAGUCAUAUUUCUUGCGCACCAUAGAUAUGGUACAUUUCCAGUGAGCAAACAGUCCUGUGUGUGGGACACAGCUCUUUUUUUGCGAAUGAACAACCUCGCCCAGCAAUGGCGCAGCAACAUUAACAGCACACAGUGAUCUCGUUUGUCUGUGAAGAAGCCAUUUUGAAAUUGAGAACAGAACAACAGAAAGAGAAGCCAUUAAACAGUACAUAUAAACGGUCGUUUUUGGACAAGGGGGAGCAAUGAGAUGUCUACAAGAUAGAUUUUACCCCUAAAAAGCAUUUCAGUGCUUCCAAUAAGACAUCUUUCUAUUGGAUUACAUGUUAAAUUUACUGAGCAUCCCCAUCCUUCCUUUAAGCCACUAUUAGAGGAUCCGAAGAUGGGAAUGAAAACGUUCAAUUUCCCCCUGCAUUUAGGCCUGAUAAAUGUAUUUCAUCACAAUGUUAAGGUAAAUAUGUUCAUUAGAGUUUUGUCUGCUUCCUUUAGGAUUCAUUAUCUAUGUGGUAAGGCUUUGAUGAUACUUGAUGAAUAGGAUUUUGUCUGAAAUUCUAAAGAAAUUAAAAUAUGCCCUUGAAGCAAGGUCAGGUAAAUGUUACUCACACAUUCGUUAUCUAAUGCCAAACAUAAUGGAUAACCUACUCCUUUAAAAACACAAUUUGACACAGUUCAUGAGUUAUCAUUUGAAAGAAGAAUACUUACUGACUUUCAGGGUAUUAAAGGUCCCUGUUGUGUAACUAGAUGGUAUGUGAAAGAUGAGAAGCAACCACUCUUUAAUGUAGAACAAGUAAAGGGGGUUUGUUGAGAACCAACAGCAAAUUUCCAGUUAAGUGAUUCAGCAUUUUUGCUAAAGGCCAUUUGCUCUCUGGCCUGCUUUGUGCUGACAUUAGAGUAGCAAAUAGACAUAGCCACUGAUGGAUAUAGUUAAAACAGCAUGCAAAUGAAUGUAUUGAAGAGAGUUGGUAAUUUUACUGACACCAUUACUUCUAAAUGAUCAAUGUAUGAUAGAAGUCCACAAAUUAACAGUAUAGUGAUACUUUAAUAAUAGUAACUGCACACUGCCUUCAUAUUUAUACAUAAUUAUACAAAAAUUAAUAAAAUUGAACUUACACAUGAUAUAAUCAUACAUGGCCAUUUACAGUGCAAUGUCAACAAAAUGCCAUUACACAACAAUCAUUAUACUUUCUGUGCUGUUCUCUUCAUUACAACUUCAACCUACAAGCUGUUUAUUCACUACUGUUUUCUUUUUACUUAAGAAUCACAAAUGCUUUUAUAUGGGUGUGCCAUGACCUAGUUAGGACAAAGAUGGAUUCCAGUCAGAGGAGAAAAAAGGUUCAAAAUGUCAAAGGGAUAACAUCCAGUAUUUUAUCUUCCUUCUUCUCAAUCCUGUCAAUGAGGAAUCAUUGUAAUUUAUCAUAGUCCAUAAAGAGAUGAGGAAAUCAAGUAUAAAGAUCCCUUUGGAACAAAGGAAACCCAUAUUGGCCAUUGAGUCCCAUUUCAGGAAAAUGGCUGCUGAGAGCGCGCUCAGCCCCCUCUCUCUGCUCUCUGUUGAAGGAUUC
ensembl:lncRNA